GCAAAAAGCUGAAUCGUGGCUUUGCAGGCUCUGGCUGAAAAACAUUAGCGAGUUUGGAUAGUGGCCGGUCACAGUACUAUGAAACUGAGGCGCGUGCACGAGUCGACUCCAUGUUUACUUUCUUUCUCUUUGAACGAAAACCACCACUCCCGGUCGGAAUAUUAUCGCUUUUUUACGAGAAAAAUGGCAUAAAAAUUGAUUUUAAACAGCGGUUGACAUGCUUCGAAGUACGGUAAUGGAAUAUUUAGAAUUUUUUUGUCACGAAACGCGUCGGGCGCAUAACCCUUCGUCACCCUUAGAUAGUGUCUUGAACGCACGAACAAAACGCCGCUAUUUGGAUAUAACUAUGGAUUAUUUUGAACCAAACCAACAUUUGUUAUUGAUGUAGCAGUCCUGGGAGUGCAUUCUGACGAAGAACACCAAAGGUUAUGGCGAAGGUGACCACAGGUGGUGUCUAUAUGCAUAGAAGGGAUAAUUCGGCCGAGAACAGUGUGGACCUCAGACCCCCUCUGACUGGCUGAAAAGUGCAUCAGGAGUCCACGUGGAGUGAGCAUGGAGAGAGAUCCAUUCCAAACUUCUCUCAUGUUGCUGGUAUACUGGUUGGCAAAUGGACGAGACAUAAUGGGAGGUAGCGGUGGUGUCGGCCCAGGUGAGACAUUAGUCUGUUUGGAAAAAUCUGAUUGUUCCUCAGACUUUGAAAUUGGGACAUUAUCAUGGGCCAUCCACCAUUGGGAAGACCAACUGUGAAGCUAUCUGAAGAAGGAAAUGAAGAGACACCAGAAGAUUGAGUGCCUGGGACGGAGGGAGUUGGUCAACUGUGCCCGUAAAUGAUCCGGAUUUGAUACCCCAAAUAAACAAUUUUGGACAAGCUGAUCGUGGAGGUCUACACACUGCAAAAUGUAUAGUAAUUUAGACUAAGAAUGCAUUGAGAUACUGAUGAGCCGUGAUGACCGUGAUGAGAAAAUUAAUGCUGGAAUUAUGGAUAAUUAUACUGUGUGUUAAUGUAAAUGUACAUUCUGCUAGUGCCGAUGUGUGUUAAGUUGAGGGUUUUAACUUUGAGUGGUAGAACCAAUGUGAAUCACUGAGCAAUGUCAUUUUAAAUUUGGGUUGAAUAAUUGGGUUUUAAUUAUGAUUUGGAAACUGAAUGAUUUUUUGUAACUGACUAAUUGACUUGAGCAAUGUUUUUGUAUGUUUAUGACUAUAUAAGUAGGGAUCAAUUCAUGUGUUAUGGGUUAGAUUAAAUUAUUUAUGUGUAAAUGUAUUUGUGGAGAAGGAGAGCCCUGCUGGGCCAUGGUCGGGUCCGUUGUGUACUGAUGAAGCACAUACUCCUGUUUGUUUUACUUAUGUUGUUAACUAUUUGUUUUAAUGCUGCUUUAGUAUGAUUUUUCUUAAGUUUAGACAUGAGUCUCAAAAGCGGGGAGUGUAAGGGGAAAAAUCCUGUAUCAGCUCUUUAAGGUUGUAUAGCAGACACAAUGUAAUGAAGAAUUACUUUAAUCGUUUUUAAUGCUGAACUUUGUUAUGCACGUGGCUGUAUGAGCCUUAAACCUGUACAUGUCCACUGUCUGUUUAAAGGUCUUGUAAGAAGAAGCUGGUAAUUUACCACUCUGACUAUGUUUAACAUGGUCACAUGGCAUAAGACAAAGAGCCUCUGAGAGUGAUCACAGUGUCCUUCAGUCCAUGCUGUUCUUCUCAUAUAUUUCAAGGGCACAGCUGUGUUGAGGUAUGAGGUGAACAAAGGCUGGCUUGUCUGUCUGUCUGUCUGUCUGUCUGUCUGUCUGUCUGUCUGUCUGUCUGUCUGUCUGUCUGUCUGUCUGUCUGUCUGUCUGUCUGUCUGUCUGUCUGUCUGUCUGUCUGUGUGUCUGUGUGUCUGUCUGUGUCUUUUACCCAUUGCAGCUUUAUCACCAAGUUUAUUGCCUUGAAUGCAAUGUAUUGAUGUAUGCAUCAAUAUCCUAUCUGGAGAGCUGGGAGAGAGGAGAGUGAGGAGGGAGAGGGAGAGAGAUGAGAGAGGGAGAUGGUGAAGAAGGGGGGACGGAGGGAAGAGGAGAGAGAAAGAGGUAGGUUAUGUCAGGUGGGUUAUUUCCGUUUUGAAUAUAGUGAAGAAAAGCCUUGCCCUAUGUUCUCACUCAUCAGUCUCAAAAGAAAAAAUACACUUUGGCAGCAGCUCAGACUUUAUUUAACCUUUUUACAAAGCAUGUUGAGAUUUAUAACAGGAAAAUCAUGUUCCACUUUACAGCUAAUUUUUUGAAUCUUUGUAUUUAAUUAUUUGGAGCAAACCUUUUAAAACAAAAACACUG
rnacentral:lncRNA from 1 species